rnacentral:rRNA from 1 species
CCUACGGGGGGCAGCAGUGGGGAAUAUUGGACAAUGGGCGCAAGCCUGAUCCAGCAAUGCCGCGUGUGUGACGAAGGCCUGCGGGUUGUAAAGCACUUUAAGCAGGAAAGAAGGGGUGAAAGUUAAUACCUUUCAUCAUUGACGUUACCUGCAGAAUAAGCACCGGCUAACUCCGUGCCAGCAGCCGCGGUAAUACGGAGGGUGUGAGCGUUAGUCGGAAUUACUGGGCGGAUUUGAUGCGUAGGCGGUUAAAGCCCUGGGCGUAACCUGGGAACUGCGGGUGAUACUGUCGGGCUAGAGUGUGGUAGAGGGGAGUGGAAUUUCCGGUGUAGCAGUGAAAUGCGUAGAGAUCGGAAGGAACACCAGUGGCGAAGGCGGCUCCCUGGACUAACACUGACGCUGAGGUGCGAAAGCGUGGGGAGCAAACAGGAUUAGAUACCCUAGUAGUC